GGCAGUCGGCCGCCGGGCGGCGGCGAAGGGAGGCGCUGGGUGAGGGAGCAGGUUUGUCGCCGUCGGUUGGUGGUCCUCGCCGUUUCAGAAAAGCCUCAUUUUGGGAGUGAAGGACGUCUUCUGGGAGUGGUUGAAGCCUGCAGUGUGAAGAAUCAGCCAGGCUAGGAGCGGGGUGUCCACCCAAGCCGAGAGAGAAACACGUAGAAUACUGACUUGUUGAAAAGGAGGGAGGGAGGUUUGGCAAGAAAUGCGGUUAGGGGUGAACGCAGUGGGGUGUUUACAAUUUGCUAAUCGCUGUGAAGAGUACAAAGGAAUUCUUUGUACUCUUCUUGCAACUUGUCUGAAACAUGACAUUAUUCCAAAAUAAAAACCACAACUCUAACGA
rnacentral:lncRNA from 1 species